rnacentral:rRNA from 1 species
UCUGUUUGAUCCUGCCAGAGGUUACUGCUAUCGAGGUUCGACUAAGCCAUGCGAGUCGAAUGUAGCAAUACAUGGCGAACUGCUCAGUAACACGUGGACAACCUGCCCUUAGGUUGGGUAUAAACCCGGGAAACUGGGUAUAAUACCCGAUAGGUCUCGAUUGCUGGAAUGCAUCGAGAUUUAAAGCUCCGGCGCCUAAGGAUGGGUCUGCGGCCUAUCAGGUAGUAGUGGGUGUAGCGUACCUACUAGCCUACGACGGGUACGGGUUGUGAGAGCAAGAGCCCGGAGAUGGAUUCUGAGACACGAAUCCAGGCCCUACGGGGUGCAGCAGGCGCGAAAACUUUACAAUGCUGGCAACAGCGAUAAGGGAACCUCGAGUGCCAGGUUACAAAUCUGGCUGUCGAGAUGCCUAAAAAGCAUUUCAUAGCAAGGGCCGGGCAAGACCGGUGCCAGCCGCCGCGGUAACACCGGCGGCUCGAGUGGUAACCGUUAUUAUUGGGUCUAAAGGGUCUGUAGCCGGCCGGAUAAGUCUCUUGAGAAAUCUGGCAGCUUAACUGUCAGGCUUUCAGGAGAUACUGUCUGGCUCGAGGCCGGGAGAGGUGAGAGGUACUUCAGGGGUAGGGGUGAAAUCUUGUAAUCCUUGAAGGACCACCAGUGGCGAAGGCGUCUCACCAGAACGGACCUGACGGCAAGGGACGAAAGCUAGGGGCACGAACCGGAUUAGAUACCCGGGUAGUCCUAGCCGUAAACGAUACUCGCUAGGUGUCGGCCACGGUGCGACCGUUGUCGGUGCCGUAGGGAAGCCGUGAAGCGAGCCACCUGGGAAGUACGGCCGCAAGGCUGAAACUUAAAGGAAUUGGCGGGGGAGCACCACAACGGGUGGAGCUUGCGGUUUAAUUGGAUUCAACGCCGGAAAUCUUACCGGGACCGACAGCAAUAUGAAGGCCAGGCUGAAGACUUUGCCGGAUUAGCUGAGAGGUGGUGCAUGGCCGUCGCCAGUUCGUACUGUGAAGCAUCCUGUUAAGUCAGGCAACGAGCGAGACCCAA